AUUGAACGCUGGCGGCAGGCUUAACACAUGCAAGUCGAGCGGAGAUGAGGUGCUUGCACCUUAUCUUAGCGGCGGACGGGUGAGUAAUGCUUAGGAAUCUGCCAUUUAGUGGGGGACAACAUUCCGAAAGGAAUGCUAAUACCGCAUACGUCCUACGAGAGAAAGCAGGGGAUCUUCGGACCUUGCGCUAAAUGAUGAGCCUAAGUCGGAUUAGCUAGUUGGUGGGGUAAAGGCCUACCAAGGCGACGAUCUGUAGCGGGUCUGAGAGGAUGAUCCGCCACACUGGGACUGAGACACGGCCCAGACUCCUACGGGAGGCAGCAGUGGGGAAUAUUUGACAAUGGGCGGAAGCCUGAUCCAGCCAUGCCGCGUGUGUGAAGAAGGCCUUUUGGUUGUAAAGCACUUUAAGCGGGGAGGAGGCUACUUGUACUAAUACUACUGGAUAGUGGACGUUACUCGCAGAAUAAGCACCGGCUAACUCUGUGCCAGCCGCCGCCGUAAAAC
rnacentral:rRNA from 1 species